AUUUUUCCAAUUACAGCAAGGAAAAGUAAUUUGUAUUUAGCAACGUCCCAACGAAAUGCAGGCAUGUUAUGGUUGCUAACGGCCAGAAAUUUAAUCCCUAAACAAAUAAAUUAUAGCAAUUGUAUAUAUGAGGCAAUUUAGAACUUAGCAAGCGAGGUUAAUCUCAAAGAAGUAAUUUAUAAACUUAAACACAGCGUCGGAAUUUUUGUAUUCUUUACUUCUCAAGUUGAUUUUAGCAAUGACACUUCAUUAGUGGAAUUUUAGAAAGAAUGCCCCCUUUAGAGAAUCAAAAUUUCCAUUGAAGAACCUGUUAACUAGGCAAGGGAAAAUUGACAAAAAAAUAUAAAUAUAAAAUAAAGGAAAAAACCAAACUAAAUUCGAAGAAGAAGACGAGAACAUUUCUUACCCAGAAGGGACAAAGAAAUAGGUGUAAGGAACCAACAUGCCAGCAGUGGGGAGUGAAAUAGCACCC